GACGAAACGCUGGCGGCGUGCCUAAAUACAUGCAAAGUAGAAACGCUGAGGUUUGGGUGUUUACACUAGACUGAUGAGUUGGCGAAACGGGUGAGUAAACGCGUAGGUAAACCUGCCUCAUAGCGGGGGGAUAACUAUUGGAAACGAUAGCUAAUACCGCAUAAGAGUAAUUAACACAUGUUAGUUAUUUAAAAAGGAGCAAUUGCUUCACUGUGAGAUGGACCUGCGUUGUAUUAGCUAGUUGGUGAGGUAAAGGCUCACCAAGGCGACGAUACCAUAGCCCGACCCUGAGAGGGUGAUCGGGCCACACUGGGACUGAGACACGGCCCAGACUCCUACGGGAGGCAGCAGUAGGGAAUCUUCGGCAAUGGACGGAAGUCUGACCGAGCAACGCCGCGUGAGUGAAGAAGGUUUUCGGAUCGUAAAGCUCUGUUGUUAGAGAAGAACGUUGGUAGGAGUGGAAAAUCUACCAAGUGACGGUAACUAACCAGAAAGGGACGGCUAACUACGUGCCAGCAGCCGCGGUAAU
rnacentral:rRNA from 1 species